UUGGGAUUGAACMSGGCCCAAAUUCUUANGGGRGCAGCAGUGGGAAUYUUGCACAAUGGAGGAAACUYUGAUGCAGCGAUGCCGCGUGAGUGAAGAAGGCCCUUGGGUUGUAAAGCUCUUUCGUCGGGGAAGAAAAUGACUGUACCCGAAUAAGAAGGUCCGGCUAACUUCGUGCCAGCAGCCGCGGUAAUACGAAGGGACCUAGCGUAGUUCGGAAUUACUGGGCUUAAAGAGUUCGUAGGUGGUUGAAAAAGUUAGUGGUGAAAUCCCAGAGCUUAACUCUGGAACUGCCAUUAAAACUUUUCAGCUAGAGUAUGAUAGAGGAAAGCAGAAUUUCUAGUGUAGAGGUGAAAUUCGUAGAUAUUAGAAAGAAUACCAAUUGCGAAGGCAGCUUUCUGGAUCAUUACUGACACUGAGGAACGAAAGCAUGGGUAGCGAAGAGGAUUAGAUACCCUCGUAGUCCAUGCCGUAAACGAUGUGUGUUAGACGUUGGAAAUUUAUUUUCAGUGUCGCAGGGAAACCGAUAAACACACCGCCUGGGGAGUACGACCGCAAGGUUAAAACUCAAAUGAAUUGACGGGGACCCGCACAAGUAGUGGAGCAUGUGGUUUAAUUCGAAGAUACGCGCAGAACCUUACCAACACUUGACAUGUUCGUCGCGACUCUAAGAGAUUAGAGUUUUCGGUUCGGCCGGACGAAACACAGGUGCUGCAUGGCUGUCGUCAGCUCGUGUCGUGAGAUGUUGGGUUAAGUCCCGCAACGAGCGCAACCCUCACUUUUAGUUGCCAUCAUUAAGUUGGGCACUCUGAWAGAACUGCCAGUGAUAAGCUGGAGGAAGGUGGGGAUGACGUCAAGUCCUCAUGGCCCUUACGUGUUGGGCUACACACGUGCUACAAUGGCAUCUACAACAGGAAGCAAAACGGCAACGUUAAGCAAAUCCCGAAAAGAUGCCUCAGUUCGGAUUGCACUCUGCAACUCGAGUGCAUGAAGCUGGAAUUACUAGUAAUCGUGGAUCAGCGUGCCACGGUKUAAUGCGUUCCCGGGUCUUGUACACACCGCCCGUCACACCAUGGGAGUUGGUUCUACCU
rnacentral:rRNA from 1 species